GAUGAACGCUGGCGGCGUGCCUAAUACAUGCAAGUCGAGCGAACGGACGAUAAGCUCUCUUCUCUGCUGUUAGCGGCUGACGGGUGAGUAACACGUGCAUAACCUACCUAUAUGACUUGGAUAACUUCGUGAAACCGUAUCUGCUACCAGAUCAUAUUUUGUACCGCAUGGUUCAAAAGUGAAAGACAGUCUUGCUGUCACUUAUAGCUGGAUCCGCGCUGCAUUAGCUAGUUGGUAAGGUAACGGCUCACCAAGGCAACGAUGCAUAGCCGACCUGAGAGGGUGAUCGGCCACACUGGAACUGAGACACGGUCCAGACUCCUACGGGAGGCAGCAGUAGGGAAUCUUCCGCAAUGGGCGAAAGCCUGACGGAGCAACGCCGCGUGAGUGAUGAAGGUCUUCGGAUCGUAAAGCUCUGUUAUUAGGGAAGAACAGAUGUGGAAGUAACUGUGCACAUUUUGACGGUACCUAAUCAGAAAGCCACGGCUAACUACGUG
rnacentral:rRNA from 1 species